UUAUCUUCGGGGUAGGGUGAAAUUCCCGAUCGGCGGUAUAGUCCGCGAGCGCUUGGCGCAGGAUUUGAUAAAGUUCAAAUCAGGAUUUGGUGCAAUUCCAAAACCGACAGUAUAGUCUGGAUGAGAGAAGAUG
rnacentral:ncRNA from 1 species